UCCUACGGGAGGCAGCAGUAAGGAAUAUUGCACAAUGGGCGCAAGCCUGAUGCAGCAACGCCGCGUGCGGGAAGAAGGGUUUCGGCUCGUAAACCGCUUUUCUGGGGGAAGAGGAUGACGGUACCCCAGGAAGAAGUCUCGGCUAACUACGUGCCAGCAGCCGCGGUAAUA
rnacentral:rRNA from 1 species